ensembl:lncRNA
CUGGAGUUCAUGUCUACCUCUGUGAAAAGUGCCACAGGCAUUUUAUGGAAAUUUCCCAUCAUGAAGACACUGAGAAAGCCCCACUGAGCUUGCUGAGCCGUCCCCAGGAAGAAGUGGCUCAAAAUGUCACAGGACCAGGCAUGAACCCACCACACUGCUCCUGUGUGGGGUUUGGUGGCUCUCUUCAGCUCCAGCUCCAUGGCCAUGGAUCUGAUACUGGCUCCUGUCUCUCCCCUAAUGCUGGAUGGCCCUUGGGCUUCCCCCAGGAUAGAAGAGGAAAGCAUCACUCUGUGCCCUAAGAAUCGUAGAAUCAUUUAGUUUGGAAAAGAUCAGUAAGAUCAUUUAGUCCCACCAUGAGCCCAUCCCCACCAUGCCCACUAACCCAUGUCCC